rnacentral:tRNA from 1 species
GCCUGGGUAGCUUAGUUGGUUGAGCAUCUGACUUUGGCUCAGGUCAUGAUCUCAUGGUUCAUGGGUUUGAGCCCCAUGUCGGGCU